UUGGAUUACGGCAUCCCUCUUCCAAAUUAUAAAAUAUUGUGUUGGGUCCUAGCCUUAAUAUUUCAUAUUGGGUGUUAUAUUAAGGACUUUGAAUCAACUAAUUUGAUUUUCUCCCAUUAUAGAUGUUUGGUUCAGACAACUAUGAUCUUCCCAACUCUCUUGAAGAUGGUGUCCCUCAACAUCAUGCUUCACUUCCUCCACCUCCUCCAAUUAUUCUCCCUCACCCACAAGUUCUUGAAAAGUUUAAAGUCACUCAAUCCCUAUUGGCAAGCAUAGUCUAUGUGUGCUCACAUCUUGGAGAUAAAGUCACAUAUUGACAAGCCGGGAGAGUUGGGUGUCAAAGUCUCGUGAAAGUUGGAUGUUCAAUCACUUUCUUAGUAACAUAGUGAGUCUCUUUGGGACUACUAUGAGACAGACUAUGACAUGACCCUUAAUGGUCUUAUCUAUUUGCUUUGUGCUGCAGAAUCAACAAUGAUUUGGAGCACUAGUAAAGCAAAUUUUAUUAGAAGAUCAACUUCCCAAAUCUUAAAUGGACUUUGGCAAUGGUAGCAUUGGAUAUCUAGAAAAGAUUUCUCUUCCCAAUGGAAAGGGAUCGGCUAUAGUCAACUUCGGUUGACCAAAUGGUAAAGAGAAAGGCUAAGUCUGAGAUAGUCUCAUGUGCCAUUACCAAAGGGUCCAUGUGUUUUGUUGCCAAAGGAAGGGGCAUUGGUUGCGAAGCUGCCCUAUUUACCUGAAAGAUCAUAAGAUUGGUUAAGUCAAAAAGUUUGACUCUACUUCGGGUAAAGUCCACUGUCUAACUCUAUUAAGUUCCUAUUUGGAGAUUCUUAUUACAUAAUGUGAAUGGGUCACAUGCUGAUGUUUUAAGAAUCAAAGAAGAGAUAGGAAACUUAAACUAAGUAUAUGUUGAUGCUGAUUGCGCAUAAUGUGAAUGGGUCACAUGCUGAUGUUUUAAGAAUCAAAGAAGAGAUAGGAAACUUAAACUAAGUAUAUGUUGAUGCUGAUUGCGAAGGUGGGUUUCAAUCACAUGGUUCGGUAAUCAGAAUUUUGAGCUGUUGCUUAAGAGUUAUAAUAUAUUGCUUAUGAAUAGAUAAAAACAAGGUUUUCAUGUGGAUUGUAAGGAUAAGUUUUUUUGCAAAGUUUUAAAAUAAAAGAAUAAAAGGGGUUUUAAUUUUAUUUAUUUUAAAAAUAUCCUUACAAUGGCAUCUGUGAAAAAUUGUUGCUUAUAUGUUUCCAGUAAUAGCAAUAUUGGAAAGUGGAUUUGAUUCUUUCAUUUGUGGUAGUGUCUGAAUUUACCAAAUGAAGAAAGUUUUUCAUCACCCAAGUUUCAAUUGGACAGAAACUUGGAAUCAUACAAGUUGUAUUGUAUGAUGAAUGAGAAUUUUCAUCUUUGAAAAUUAAGACUAAUUCUUUGAUCACAUGUAUAUGUGAGUCAAUUGAAGGACUAAGGAAUUAGGUACACUGGGUGUGCGCUGGUCAAGGUCCACCACAAAGAUUGAUUUGUCAUGAUUUACUAAAGAUUAGUAAAUAUGAUUAUACUUAUGAGGUUAAGUAUAAUUCUGUAACAUUGGAAAGGUUACAAUGUAUGACAAAACAAAUGAGAAGAAUCAAAUUAGGCAGAAAGAUAAAAGUUUCUCAAAUCUGAAAGGAUGGGAGAGUACUUUAGUAUCAUAUUUCAUGAUCAUCUUAAUGAUUAUGAAACCAUAUCACAAAUUCAUACUCUAAGGACGUCUUAGUGCAUUGUUAUGGCUAAGAAGAGAGGUCAUGAAUUGUUGGAUUGGUUAAAAUCAAGAAGAUGAGUCAUACUUCGUUCCAAAACAAUUCUUAGAGUCAUACUCCAAGAUUGUAACUUUGAGUGACAUAAAGGAAGAUUUAUUAACACUAGUCAAAUGUAAGAGUAAAAUGUUUUCUACUCUUGUACAUUUGAGAUUGGUAAGUUGUGAUGUCUUGGAUGAGACAAAGACCAACUAAGACCAAUUGUGUGAAGUGUUAGUCUUGAUAAGAAUCCGCACUAUCCCUUGAAUAUUUGUUUUGUCAAGGAAUGGUUCUUGACUGGGGAAACUUAUAUGUCAAGGGGACAGUGGG
rnacentral:lncRNA from 1 species